rnacentral:rRNA from 1 species
AUUGAACGCUGGCGGAAUGCUUUACACAUGCAAGUCGAGCGGCAGCGCGGGGGCAACCCUGGCGGCGAGCGGCGAACGGGUGAGUAAUACAUCGGAACAUGUCCAGUUGUGGGGGAUAGCCCGGCGAAAGCCGGAUUAAUACCGCAUGAGCUCUGGCGAGGAAAGCGGGGGACCGAAAGGCCUCGCGCGACUGGGUUGGCCGAUGUCCGAUUAGCUAGUUGGUGGGGUAAAGGCNCACCAAGGCGAUGAUCGGUAGCUGGUCUGAGAGGAUGAUCAGCCACACUGGGACUGAGACACGGCCCAGACUCCUACGGGAGGCAGCAGUGGGGAAUUUUGGACAAUGGGGGCAACCCUGAUCCAGCCAUUCCGCGUGAGUGAAGAAGGCCUGG